GAAAUACUCCCUCCGUCCGGAAUUACUUGUCAUUAAAAUGGAUGAAAAUGAAUGUUUUCAGCCAUUUUAAUGACAAGUAAUUCCGGACGGAGGGAGUAACAU
rfam:Triticum aestivum genome assembly, contig: Triticum_aestivum_CS42_TGACv1_scaffold_225608_3B